AGGUAUUACAGUCUCCAGCUAUUACACUUAACAAGGUAUUACAGUCUCCAGCUAUUACACUUAACAAGGUAUUACAGUCUCCAGCUAUUACACUUAACGAGGUAUUACAGUCUCCAGCUAUUACACUUAACGAGGUAUUACAGUCUCCAGCUAUUACACUUAACAAGGUAUUACAGUCUCCAGCUAUUACACUUUACAAGGUAUUACAGUCUCCAGCUAUUACACUUAACAUGGUAUUACAGUCUCCAGCUAUUACACUUGACAAGGUAUUACAGUCUCCAGCUAUUACACUUAGCGAGGUAUUACAGUCUCCAACUAUUA